GAGUUUGAUCUUGGCUCAGAUUGAACGCUGGCGGCAUGCCUUACACAUGCAAGUCGAACGGCAGCACGGGAGCCUUGCUCCUGGUGGCGAGUGGCGAACGGGUGAGUAAUGCAUCGGAACGUAUCCUGGAGUGGGGGAUAACGUAGCGAAAGUUACGCUAAUACCGCAUAUUCUGUGAGCAGGAAAGCGGGGGACCUUCGGGGCCUCGCGCUCUUGGAGCGGCCGAUGUCGGAUUAGCUAGUUGGUGAGGUAAAGGCUCACCAAGGCGACGAUCCGUAGCAGGUCUGAGAGGAUGAUCUGCCACACUGGAACUGAGACACGGUCCAGACUCCUACGGGAGGCAGCAGUGGGAAUUUUGGACAAUGGGGGCAACCCUGAUCCAGCCAUGCCGCGUGAGUGAAG
rnacentral:rRNA from 1 species